GUAAGUUCCAGUGGGCAAGGCCUCUAAGGUCGUCGGUGUCACAGCAGCUGUGUGCCAAGUGGUCUACCACUCCCAAUUCUGUUCCCAGGACCCAAGAACAUCACCAGACCGUUACAGCCCUCUGCCCACCAGAGGCAGCCUCAGCAUCCUCAGCAACAGGCACCUUUGAGCCUCUUGUCCACAGAUUGGCAAUGAGCUUCAGCCUGGAUCAAGUGUUCUGGAGCAAGACCAAUCUCCCUCAUCCAAGAGAGCUCUUGGUCUGUUUUGGCCUGCACAUAUGGAAUUGGAUGAAGUUAACAGAGAGCACAUGAUCCAGGCUGUACCAAUAUGGGGAAAACAAGAAAGGAAAGAAGAUAAGAAAGUAUAAAAAUUCAAAAUCUAAAAGAGAGCAUGCUUAUAAGCAUAAAUUUGCUUUUAUACAAUUUAGGUAUAAUGGUUGAUGAAUCAAUAUAUAAAAUAAAAAAAUAGAGAAAUGUAAAAUAUAAAUUUAUUAGCUAAACCCAACAAAAUAAUAAGGCUAUAUCGUAUUAAACACAUAGUAUUAUUGGGAUUAAGUUUGGAUACACAUUGCAAAAAACUAAAAGAACUAUAACUU
ensembl:lncRNA